CAGCAGCAGCCGCGGUAAUACAGAGGGUGCGAGCGUUAAUCGGAUUUACUGGGCGUAAAGCGUGCGUAGGCGGCUUCUUAAGUCGGAUGUGAAAUCCCUGAGCUUAACUUAGGAAUUGCAUUCGAUACUGGGAAGCUAGAGUAUGGGAGAGGAUGGUAGAAUUCCAGGUGUAGCGGUGAAAUGCGUAGAGAUCUGGAGGAAUACCGAUGGCGAAGGCAGCCAUCUGGCCUAAUACUGACGCUGAGGUACGAAAGCAUGGGGAGCAAACAGGAUUAGAUACCCCGGUAGUCCCUGUCUCUUAUAU
rnacentral:rRNA from 1 species